rnacentral:piRNA from 1 species
UAGGUCCAUCCUUCAAAUGUCCUGAAGGGG